UCCGGUUUGUCACCGGCGGUCUCCUUAGAGUUCCCACCAUUACGUGCUGGCAACUAAGGACAAGGGUUGCGCUCGUUGCGGGACUUAACCCAACAUCUCACGGCACGAGCUGACGACAGCCAUGCAGCACCUUGCUUUGUGUCCCGAAGGAAAGGUCCAUCUCUGAACCGGUCACGCGCAUUCUAGCCUAGGUAAGGUUCCUCGCGUAUCAUCGAAUUAAACCACAUGCUCCACCGCUUGUGCGGGCCCCCGUCAAUUCCUUUGAGUUUCACCCUUGCGGGCGUACUCCCCAGGUGGAUGACUUAACGCUUUCGCUUGGACGCUAACGGUAUAUCGCUAACAUCGAGUCAUCAUCGUUUACAGCGUGGACUAC
rnacentral:misc_RNA from 1 species